rnacentral:lncRNA from 1 species
AAAGGCAGGGGCGAUGUGCACAGUCUGCGGGGCCUCGAAGUCAGCCAUUAUGCCCCCCAAAGUGAGCAGGGGGUGGGCAGCCACCACUGUGACCUCAUCCUGCCCCCGACUCCCAGUUCUGGAAAUUCUUCAUUAGCACCAAAUCCAAACUUUUCCUCAGCAGUGGCAGGACCCAGUCGCAGGUCCUCCUUCCUCCUCCCGCCCCCUCGCGGUCAGACAACAGGUAUCUGUAUGUUUGCAAGCAUUCUUUCAGGCAGGGCUCCUGCGGACGGCAGCUGGCAGCUCUGAAGUUACCUCCUUCCCAGUUCAUGAUUCAGAGCGGCAGGAAGCAGCAUUCCACCUGAAGAAAAAUCGUCAUCAUCGUGCCUCUCUGUUCCUCGGCAGCCAACGGCUGACUCACUCCCUUGGCUCUGGGAGGCUUGGUUGCUCGGCUCUGAUUGUGAAGUGUGUGCAGAUAGUGUGUUCACAUCCAAAAUCAUGCAUGCACACACAACUCCUAAACACAACCUCACGUGUUCUCUAUGCCAAUCACGCAAAUGCACCAUGCCUGAAGGGGGUGUGUCCCCCCCCACACAGUGGGGUGCUGACAGAAGCCAUUCUGCAAAGGCUUGUUAAUUCUUAGACAGUCGGGUGUGAAUAUCAUGCUGACAUUUAUAGCGUGUCUUCACCACACUCCGUCUCACCCACGCUGAACCACGCACCUGCAGGAGGGACUGCUGGUAUCAACGCAGCAGAUGUUGUGUGCCCUGGGAAUGCUUAAAUAUGUACUCUCUACAGAAGGCGUGUGUUACCCAAACACAGACCUGAGGGAGGGGGACUAGGAGGGAAGAGAAAAGGGGAGAUGUGGUCUGGCUUCCCCAAGCCUAUCUUUGGGUGCCCUGGAUGCCUGAUAAAUUCCAGCCUUGGAUGAAAACAAAAGGCUUUAUCUUUUAAAACAAGUUUAGGAAGAUGUUAGAAUUUAUUAUAUAGAAAAAUAUAACAAAACAAAACGUGGGGUGUGCAGUCAGAGAAACGUGGUUUUAAGUCCCAGUUCUAUAAUUUAACAAGCUACAUGACCUGGGUCAAUCACUUAGCCUCUCUGAGCCUUCUCACCAGUAAAAUGGAGCUCACAGAGGUAUCUAUUUCUCAGAGUUGUGGUCAAGGAAAGUUAGGUUAGUGAUUCAUAUGCUGGAACAUAAAGAAAUAAAUACUCCUUUAUUUGAACUUCUAAGUCAUGGGUGGCAUGCCAGGGUGACUUUGUCCUGAUAUUAGGGUUACUAGGGUCCUUUUCUAGUUGUCCUGGAUCUCAGCAUCCUGCCUCCAACCCUGGUAUUCCCACUCAUACCAGGGGUGGAUCCACAGGUCAUCUCCCCUGCAGAUUCAGCCCCUUCCCAGUUCCCAAGUAUCUCUGGGCUUGAGGGGAACAUGUAUUAUAUUGCUGAACACUGUCCCGGUUGCAAGUGACAGAAAAUGGAAAUUUAUUGGUUUGUGUGAUUAGAAAGUUUGAGGGUGAGUGGGUGCAGUGGCUCACACCUGUACUCCCAGCACUUUGGGAGGCCAAGGCAGGAGGAUCACUUGAUGCCAAGAGUUCAACACCAGCCUGGGCAAGAUAGUGAAACGUGUUUCUACAAAAAAAAAAACAAAACAU